GGCGAACGGGUGAGUAACACGUGAGUAACCUGCCCUUAACUCUGGGAUAAGCCUGGGAAACUGGGUCUAAUACCGGAUAGGAGCGUCCACCGCAUGGUGGGUGUUGGAAAGAUUUAUCGGUUUUGGAUGGACUCGCGGCCUAUCAGCUUGUUGGUGAGGUAAUGGCUCACCAAGGCGACGACGGGUAGCCGGCCUGAGAGGGUGACCGGCCACACUGGGACUGAGACACGGCCCAGACUCCUACGGGAGGCAGCAGUGGGGAAUAUUGCACAAUGGGCGCAAGCCUGAUGCAGCGACGCCGCGUGAGGGAUGACGGCCUUCGGGUUGUAAACCUCUUUCAGUAGGGAAGAAGCGAAAGUGACGGUACCUGCAGAAGAAGCACCGGCUAACUACGUGCCAGCAGCCGCGGUAAUACGUAGGGUGCGAGCGUUAUCCGGAAUUAUUGGGCGUAAAGAGCUCGUAGGCGGUUUGUCGCGUCUGUCGUGAAAGUCCGGGGCUUAACCCCGGAUCUGCGGUGGGUACGGGCAGACUAGAGUGCAGUAGGGGAGACUGGAAUUCCUGGUGUAGCGGUGGAAUGCGCAGAUAUCAGGAGGAACACCGAUGGCGAAGGCAGGUCUCUGGGCUGUAACUGACGCUGAGGAGCGAAAGCAUGGGGAGCGAACAGGAUUAGAUACCCUGGUAGUCCAUGCCGUAAACGUUGGGCACUAGGUGUGGGGACCAUUCCACGGUUUCCGCGCCGCAGCUAACGCAUUAAGUGCCCCGCCUGGGGAGUACGGCCGCAAGGCUAAAACUCAAAGGAAUUGACGGGGGCCCGCACAAGCGGCGGAGCAUGCGGAUUAAUUCGAUGCAACGCGAAGAACCUUACCAAGGCUUGACAUGUUCUCGAUCGCCGUAGAGAUACGGUUUCCCCUUUGGGGCGGGUUCACAGGUGGUGCAUGGUUGUCGUCAGCUCGUGUCGUGAGAUGUUGGGUUAAGUCCCGCAACGAGCGCAACCCUCGUUCCAUGUUGCCAGCACGUCGUGGUGGGGACUCAUGGGAGACUGCCGGGGUCAACUCGGAGGAAGGUGAGGACGACGUCAAAUCAUCAUGCCCCUUAUGUCUUGGGCUUCACGCAUGCUACAAUGGCCGGUACAAUGGGUUGCGAUACUGUGA
rnacentral:rRNA from 1 species